rnacentral:rRNA from 1 species
AUUGAACGCUGGCGGCAGGCCUAACACAUGCAAGUCGAGCGGAUGAAGGGAGCUUGCUCCUGGAUUCAGCGGCGGACGGGUGAGUAAUGCCUAGGAAUCUGCCUGGUAGUGGGGGAUAACGUCCGGAAACGGGCGCUAAUACCGCAUACGUCCUGAGGGAGAAAGUGGGGGAUCUUCGGACCUCACGCUAUCAGAUGAGCCUAGGUCGGAUUAGCUAGUUGGUGGGGUAAAGGCCUACCAAGGCGACGAUCCGUAACUGGUCUGAGAGGAUGAUCAGUCACACUGGGACUGGGACCACGUCCAGGCUCCUACGGGAGGCAGCAGUGGGGAAUAUUGGGCAAUGGGGGGAAGCCUUAUCCAGCCAUGGCGCGUGGUUGAAGAAGGUCUUCGGAUUGUAAAGCACUUUAAGUUGGGAGGAAGGGCAGUAAGUUAAUACCUUGCUGUUUUGACGUUACCAACAGAAUAAGCACCGGCUAACUUCGUG